rnacentral:rRNA from 1 species
UACGUAGGUGACAAGCGUUGUCCGGAUUUACUGGGCGUAAAGAGCGCGCAGGCGGUCGUUCAAGUCGAGUGUGAAAGCCCCCGGCUCAACUGGGGAGGGUCACUCGAUACUGAUCGACUCGAAGGCAGGAGAGGGAAGUGGAAUUCCCGGUGUAGUGGUGAAAUGCGUAGAUAUCGGGAGGAACACAGUGGCGAAGGCGACUUCCUGGCCUGUUCUUGACGCUGAGGCGCGAAAGCUAGGGGAGCAACGGG